rnacentral:tRNA from 1 species
AGUAGAGUGGCUGAGAUUAAUAUAGGUGAUAGAUUGUAAAUCUAUUAAGGGGUGUUACCCCUCUACUA